CAAUCACACGCAGAAAAUGAAGCAUUUUGAAGGCCAGAACUAAUUCGAAAUGUUGGAAUGCGGUUACACAUAUCACAUAUUUAAAUACAUUCACCCAUUCCAUGCAGAAGUUGAAGAGGUUACUUAGCCGCCUUCGAAGACUCUCAUCUCCGUAUCUUUUAUUCAAAAGGAAAAAAUGUUUUAUGUAUUCUGAUGCCGACGCCGCGGGAUUCUAAACAAUAAACACUUCAACAAGU
rnacentral:sRNA from 1 species